GACGAACGCUGGCGGCGUGCCUAACACAUGCAAGCCGAGCGGAGACAUUAAGGAGCUUGCUCUGAGAUGUUUUAGCGGCGGACGGGUGAGUAACGCGUGAGCAACCUUUCUCUCAGUGGGGAAUAACACACCGAAAGGUGUACUAAUACCGCAUGAGACCACAGUGCCGCAUGGUACAGGGGUCAAAGAUUUAUUGCUGAGAGGUGGGCUCGCGUCCGAUUAGCUAGUUGGUAAGGUAACGGCUUACCAAGGCGACGAUACAUAGCCGACCUGAGAGGGUGAUCGGCCACACUGGGACUGAGACACGGCCCAG
rnacentral:rRNA from 1 species